rnacentral:rRNA from 1 species
CUACGGGCUGCACCAGCUGCGAAUUUUUUACAAUGCACGAAAGUGUGAUAGAGCGAACCAAAGUGCUUACCUUUCGGUAAGCUUUUCUUCUGUGUAAAAAACAGGAGGAAUAAGGACUGGGAAAGACCGGUGCCAGCCGCCGCGGUAAUACCGGCAGUUCAAGUGGCAUCCAACUUUAUUGGGUCUAAAACAUCCGUAGCUUGUUUGUUAAGUCUCUUGUGAAAUCUCACGUCUCAAGCGUGGGGCUUGCAGGGGAUACUGGCAAACUUGAGAUCGGUAGACGUAAGGAGUACGAUCAAGGUAAUGGUUAAAUAUGUUAAUCUUGGUUGGACUAACGAUUAGCGAAGGCACCUUACGAGGACGAGUCUGACAGUGAGGGAUGAAGGCCAGGGGCGCAAAACGGAUUAGAUACCCCUGUAGUC